rnacentral:rRNA from 1 species
UACGUAGGGGGCAAGCGUUGUCCGGAUUUAUUGGGCGUAAAGAGCGUGUAGGCGGCCAUGUAGGUCCGUUGUGAAAACUCGAGGCUCAACCUCGAGACGCCGAUGGAAACCAUGUGGCUAGAGUCCGGAAGAGGAGAGUGGAAUUCCUGGUGUAACGGUGAAAUGCGCAGAUAUACAGGAAGAACACCCGUGGCUAAGGCGGCUCUCUAGUACGGUACUGACGCUGAGACGCGAAAGCGUGGGGAGCGAACAGG